GUAGUCCAUAACAAGGUAACCAGUAGAGUUUGAUGUCGGCUCAAGGGAACCAUAGACAGGUAAACUGCCUGAUGGAGGGGGAUAACUACUGGAAACGGUAGCUAAUACCGCAUAACGUCGCAAGACCAAAGAGGGGGACCUUCGGGCCUCUUGCCAUCGGAUGUGCCCAGAUGGGAUUAGCUAGUAGGUGGGGUAACGGCUCACCUAGGCGACGAUCCCUAGCUGGUCUGAGAGGAUGACCAGCCACACUGGAACUGAGACACGGUCCAGACUCCUACGGGAGGCAGCAGUGGGGAAUAUUGCACAAUGGGCGCAAGCCUGAUGCAGCCAUGCCGCGUGUAUGAAGAAGGCCUUCGGGUUGUAAAGUACUUUCAGCGGGGAGGAAGGGAGUAAAGUUAAUACCUUUGCUCAUUGACGUUACCCGCAGAAGAAGCACCGGCUAACUCCGUGCCAGCAGCCGCGGUAAUACGGAGGGUGCAAGCGUUAAUCGGAAUUACUGGGCGUAAAGCGCACGCAGGCGGUUUGUUAAGUCAGAUGUGAAAUCCCCGGGCUCAACCUGGGAACUGCAUCUGAUACUGGCAAGCUUGAGUCUCGUAGAGGGGGGUAGAAUUCCAGGUGUAGCGGUGAAAUGCGUAGAGAUCUGGAGGAAUACCGGUGGCGAAGGCGGCCCCCUGGACGAAGACUGACGCUCCGGUGCGAAAGCGUGGGGAGCAAACAGGAUUAUAUACCCUGGUAGUCCACGCCGUAACCAUGUCGACUUGGAGGUUGUGCCCUUGAUGCGUGGCUUCCGGAGCUAACGCGUUAACUCACCGCCUGGGGAGUCCGCCGCAAGGUUAAACUCAAAUGAAUUGACGGGGCCCGCACAGCGGUGGAGCAUGUGGUUUAUCUAUGCAACCCAAUAACCUUACCUGGUCUUGACUUCA
rnacentral:rRNA from 1 species